AGAGUUUGAUCCUGGCUCAGAUUGAACGCUGGCGGCAUGCUUUACACAUGCAAGUCGGACGGCAGCGGGGUAGUGCUUGCACUACUGCCGGCGAGUGGCGAACGGGUGAGUAAUAUAUUGGAACGUACCGAGUAAUGGGGGAUAACCAAUCGAAAGAUUGGCUAAUACCGCAUACGCUCUGAGGAGGAAAGCAGGGGACCUUCGGGCCUUGCGUUAUUCGAGCGGCCAAUAUCUGAUUAGCUAGUUGGUGGGGUAAAGGCCUACCAAGGCGACGAUCAGUAGCGGGUCUGAGAGGAUGAUCCGCCACACUGGGACUGAGACACGGCCCAGACUCCUACGGGAGGCAGCAGUGGGGAAUUUUGGACAAUGGGCGCAAGCCUGAUCCAGCCAUGCCGCGUGUCUGAAGAAGGCCUUCGGGUUGUAAAGGACUUUUGUUAGGGAAGAAAAAGGAGCGGUUAAUACCCGUUUCUGCUGACGGUACCUAAAGAAUAAGCACCGGCUAACUACGUGCCAGCAGCCGCGGUAAUACGUAGGGUGCGAGCGUUAAUCGGAAUUACUGGGCGUAAAGCGAGCGCAGACGGUUACUUAAGCAGGAUGUGAAAUCCCCGGGCUCAACCUGGGAACUGCGUUCUGAACUGGGUAGCUAGAGUAUGUCAGAGGGGGGUAGAAUUCCACGUGUAGCAGUGAAAUGCGUAGAGAUGUGGAGGAAUACCGAUGGCGAAGGCAGCCCCCUGGGAUAAUACUGACGUUCAUGCUCGAAAGCGUGGGUAGCAAACAGGAUUAGAUACCCUGGUAGUCCACGCCCUAAACGAUGUCGAUUAGCUGUUGGGCAGCUUGACUGCUUAGUAGCGUAGCUAACGCGUGAAAUCGACCGCCUGGGGAGUACGGUCGCAAGAUUAAAACUCAAAGGAAUUGACGGGGACC
rnacentral:rRNA from 1 species